UAGCCUGGUAUUGGGCUGGGAGCCGUCAUGUGUAGGAUAGGUGGGAGGCUAUGAGGCCCCGACGCCAGUCGGGGNGGAGCCGCCGUUGAAAUACCACCCUUGGCUGUUUUUGGUCCUAACCNCNNCNCAANNGNGGGACAGUGCCUGGUGGGCAGUUUAACUGGGGCGGUUGCCUCCUAAAANGUAACGGAGGCGUCCAAAGGUUCCCUCAGGNNGGAUGGAAAUCNNCCNUNGANNGCAUUGGCAUAAGGGAGCUUGACUGCGAGACCUACAAGUCGAGCAGGGACGAAAGUCGGGCAAAGUGAUCCUACGGCACCGUGUGGAAGGGCCGUGGCUUAUCGGAUAAAAGCUACCCCGGGGAUAACAGGCUNAUCUCGCCCAAGAGUUCACAUCGACGGCGAGGUUUGGCACCUCGAUGUCGGCUCGUCNCAUCCUGGGGCUGAAGGCGGUCCCAAGGGUCCGGCUGUUCGCCGGUUAAAGGGGUACGUGAGUUGGGUUCAGAACGUCGUGAGACAGUUCGGUCUCUAUCCGCCGUGGGCGCAGGAGGCUUGAGGGAACCUCUUCCUAGUACGAGAGGACCGGAAGGGAUAGACCUAUGGUGUGCCAGUUGUUCCGCCAGGAGCAGCGCUGGGUAGCCAUGUCUAGUAUUGAUAAGCGCUGAAGGCAUCUAAGCGCGAAGCUGCCCCCAAGAUGAGGCCUCCCUUCCCUAUUAAGUUAGGGAGUAAGACUGCAGAGAGACUAUCUGCUUGAUAGGCCGGAUGUGUAAGGAUGGCAACAUCUUCAGCAUACCGGUACUAACCGGUCGAGAGGCUUGACCCA
rnacentral:rRNA from 1 species